rfam:Triticum urartu cultivar G1812 contig257217, whole genome shotgun sequence.
CCCAUCGAUGACGAUGAGCUAGUCUCCUACAUCACCACCGGCUUCGACAUGGAGUACCAUCCCCUCAUCUCCGCCAACGACGCCCGCACCGACACCAUCAGCCUCGACGAUCUCUACGCUCAGAUGAGCAACUUUGAUC